GAUUAAUAAGUUAGAGGUGAAAUCCCAGGGCUCAACCCUGGAACUGCCUUUAAAACUGUUAGUCUUGAGAUCGAGAGAGGUGAGUGGAAUUCCAAGUGUAGAGGUGAAAUUCGUAGAUAUUUGGAGGAACACCAGUGGCGAAGGCGGCUCACUGGCUCGAUAC
rnacentral:rRNA from 1 species